rnacentral:tRNA from 2 species
GGCCCCGUAGCUCAGCUGGAUAGAGCACCAGAUUCCUAAUCUGGGGGCCGCAGGUUCAAUUCCUGCCGGGGUCGCCA